CAACUUUCAACAACGGAUCUCUUGGCUCUCGCAUCGAUGAAGAACGCAGCGAAAUGCGAUAACUAAUGUGAAUUGCAGAAUUCAGUGAAUCAUUGAGUCUUUGAACGCACCUUGCGCCCUCUGGUAUUCCGGAGGGCAUGCCUGUUUGAGUGUCAUUAUCAUCUCAAC
rnacentral:rRNA from 1 species